CUACGGGCUGCUCCAGUGAGGAAUAUUGCACAAUGGGGGGAACCCUGAUGCAGCAACGCCGCGUGGAGGAUGACGCAUUUCGGUGUGUAAACUCCUUUUAUAUGUCAAGAAAAUGACGGUAGCAUAUGAAUAAGCGCCGGCUAACUCCGUGCCAGCAGCCGCGGUAAUACUGAGGGCGCAAGCGUUACUCGGAAUCACUGGGCGUAAAGGACGCGUAGGCGGGUUGAAAAGUCAGGUGUGAAAGCCUACAGCUUAACUGUAGAACUGCACUUGAAACUCUCAAUCUAGAGUAUGGGAGGGGGAGAUGGAAUUAGUGGUGUAGGGGUAAAAUCCGUAGAUAUCACUAGGAAUACCUAAAGCGAAGGCGAUCUCCUGGAACAUUACUGACGCUAAGGCGUGAAAGCGUGGGGAGCAAACAGGAUUAGAUACCCGAGUAGUC
rnacentral:rRNA from 1 species